UUUCCAGAAGUGGCUGCUAUUCCUGCUUUAUUUAUUUAAUUGUUAAUGUUUAAUAAGUGUUAAUAUUAACAGAGCAAGUAAGUUAGCAGCGCAGCAUGAUGUUCUCCUGUACGACCUGUUGCAAAAUGAGUAAUUAUUUAGAUUUUUAAGGACUGUUGGACUUACGAUCAAAGCUUCAUCAUAACCAGGCAGAGCAUUUGCUGAGCUGAAGCCAUACGUUGCUGGAACUCCUUUGGUAUCUGCAGGGUGAAUGCUAAAAGGAGUGUGGGGCUUGCGAGUUGGAAAUGCUUUCUGCUUGGAAGACAACAACGGCCUCCAGCCAGCUUUAUCUUUAGCUUGCAGCCUGUAGAUCUCACUCUGUCACACCAAAGUAAAGAAGUUCAUGACCUCUCCAUAUCUGAAAAAGUUCACUAAAUAUAGACUGGGAGCUUUCUUGGGAAUUCUCUCAGCAGUAUCCCUCAUAAAGCAACGGAGAAGCUGAAUCCCCCGGUAAUGUGGGAGGUAUCGGUUAUAAGUGACUUGUAUGUGGGGUUGGCCUGUGCCCUGUGCUGUGGGGCUUUCAUCUGUGCACGACCGUGAGUUCCUUACAUGCCUGUAGCAGAAAGCAUGUGAAAGCAGCCAUAAGGCUUUCUGGUGAAAUGAAGGAUUCUCUGCUAGAAAGCAAGCAGUCGGUACUGGAAAAUGGCAAUGCAUCUUCAGGCUCUGGAAAAUGCUUUCCUUUUUCUUAGCGUUUUCAGUUUCAAAUGUACAUUAGUUGUGACAGUUUUUUUUUCUUGUCUGUUUUCUCUACUGAGUUAAAUAGAGCACAGAAGACAAGUCAGAGAAUUCAAAUUUUUGUGGCGAUUUCCUCUUUAAGAACAAUAUUUUUAGUUUAAAGGAUUGGAGAGUGGAUUUUAUGUAUGCAAGGAGAUGGUUUUGCAGCUUGCAAGCUUCUGUCACUUCGGACAUCUUGCUGUUUAAGAAAGCAUGUGGGGUUUUUAAAAAUAAAUAUAUUUUUAUCCGUUAUUGAAACCCUCACUGUAUUUUUAGCAGUGUUGUUGCUAUUAAUGUAGAGGAGAAGAGACACAACAAAUGACUGCUGGUUGCUAGGGAUUAACUUGCGAAGUUGAAUUAAUUCAUUUGAAGUGUUUUGCAAAAAUACGUAGAUGAAGGUUGUGGUUAGAUGAAAUGGUUUAAAACUCUCGUUAGCUUGAUGUAGUGCUGACUCGCGGACUGUGAACGUAUGCUGUCUAACACACAUGCUGAAACAGUCAGAAAGAUGCUAUUUUUUAAUCUAUUUCUAUUUCAGCAAGCCCUUUUGUGCUAUUCUGUGUGGUUACAGAACAGCAAGCAGUUUUUUUUCUUUAGUGGAGCCUACGUCACUAUCAUAAUGCAAGUAACAAUAGCAGUGGUUAUGCUCUCAUCACUGAGAGAUAGCAGGAGAUGCUAGUGCCAUCCUGGGUCUCUGGUGUGGCACAAGUUGGAGAGAGCCCAGGUGAAUAAUAAAAACAGGUUUUCAGAAAAAAAGCCCUGUGAAGUUUUUAAGAACCUGUUUUUUCUAAGGCUCAUUAGGGUUUGCUGUAUGUUCUUCUUAGUCUCAAAUGUACCGUGGUUAUUUUAGAGGAGUUACUUAAAGUAGAAGCUGCAGUUCUUUUUUUUUUUUUUUUUUUAAAAAAAAAAGACAAAACUACUCAAACUUUUCUGUGAAUGUUUGAGCUGUAUGUAAUUGAAUAUGCCCUGCUUUGAUUUGUUUUUUUUUUUUUCUUAUUCAUCAGACCUAUGUAAAAGUUACUGUUGGUAUUUUGAAGCAUUCUAAGAAAUAAGUCUGUGGUUUUACUGAAAACAUUUUCAUGAAGACAGUUUCUCAAAGCGUGUAAGGAUCCAGAACCUGGAAGUCUCAAACCCAGGUUUCAUCAAGUAAAGAAUACUUAAUUCCUUAGUUGACUAGCAGAAGAGGAAAGACAAUGAAAUGGUUUUUAAAAGACUGGGAGAUAUAAUUGCAGAUAGAAUAUUGUGUUGCAUUUUACUCUGCUUCCAGCAUUAUUACACUGCUUAGUUUUGAGUCAUUUAUCUCUAUUUUCUGCCAAGGUUGACUAUGCUAUGAAAAUGGGAAUUUUUAACUUAGACUCAUUAUGAGUUAGGGCUGAGAACACCAUUGUCAUAUCAUUCUUACAUUGGUCAAAGCUGUACAGGCAGAGAUUAUCUGAGCUAGAAAAAUUAAGCUGCCUUUACAGUCACCUAUGUGAUAAACUCACUGUACAGCUGAGAAGACUUCAAGAUUUACCUUUUUCUUUACUGGUUUUAAUGUGGUUUUUUUUUUCUUUUUUUUUUUUUUUCCCCCUUUUCUGGCCAAGAAGACUAGCUGGUUUUGCCUCUCUCUUAAUCAAGACUUCUGCUUUAAUUUUGACAAGUGCAAACUUGCUGCUAUGAGAUUUAAGCAAUUUUGGAAAAGGUGCAAUGGGUUAGAAGUCAGUGCCCUGCUCUUAGCUGCUCCCCUUUGCUAUAGGUGACAAUGAGAAGAUAACUAAGGAAGUAAAAUGAGGUUUUCAAUGCUAAGCCCCAUCUUCUUCCAUUAAUGAAUUCAUUUUUAGGGUUUAAUGUAGUAAUGCAGCUACAUUUGUGAGGGUAUCGUGAGGUAAAUUUGGAAGGAACAUCAGCGGAGUGAUUGUGGUGUAGUAAAUGGAAAACAUAUGCUUUAUAUGCCUUUAAAUAGUGUGCAGGGUUUUUUCCCCAAUAGUUGUCAUCUGUGUUUGCUUUAAUAUCUUGGAAGUGCCCUCUGUUACUACUGUUGGCCAGCUAUGGAAGUGAUGGUGAGCUGCUCAUAAAUGCAGAUGAUGAAGGAGAAGAACAGGUUGGGAGAAGGGAAAGGAGGAACAGGGACGUUGUGGUGCACCUGACAACCUCAGAGGCCAGGUGAUUUUUGGCAUAAAUGGAAUUCUGCAACCAUAAAUGAGGUUGAGGAAAAUGAGAAGACUUGGAAAGUGAGGCCAGUAAGGGUAGAGCCACUGGUGCGAUAAGGGCUGAGGGCAAGACAAGGAGUUAGGGUUCUCCUGUUGUAAACUCUCUUCACUACUUAUGGAGUGGGAGUUUCUGUUGAUUAAACUGGAGCGUAGGUGAGAGCUUAGGUAUACCUGAGCUCAAGUAUUGAAUUGAAAAAGGAGUACUGCAGGUUUGAGAGGAAGAACUGUAAGCAAUGACGUUAAAACUAAGUAUGGGCUUAAAUUGAAACAGUGGGAAAAGUGAAAUGUGGAGUAGGUAGCACUCAGCGUUAGUUCUGUCUUUAUUUUUCCCCUGAAGUCUCCAGCCCACCGUGUGCUUAUUAUGCUUAAUCAUAGAAGGUGAUAAUAGCCUGCAACAUGGUCAGACAGUUAUAAUACAGUCAUAGUAAUCCUAAGGCUACCUUAGGGUAUUUUUAUUUAUUUAUAUUGGUAAGCCUUUAUCUAUAGAAGUUACAAACACUUUCGAAAAAAAAGGCAAAUAAUCCUAGAGACUAUUAAUUUGAAGAGUUGGGAGGUAAGGUGCUUUUUCUCCUUCACCUAUUCCUGGUGCCCUACCUCAUAGUUCCUGCUCUGGAUUGGUAUCGUUCAGAACCUUGAAUUCAAAUAGAUUGUCAGAUGGGUUUUAUUUGACAUAAAAAUAAUGAUGAAUAUAAUAGUUGCACAGUGAUUGUACUGGAGGCUUCAGACAAAUGCUAAGAGUGUCCAGAAUUGGAUGAGUGCACUUCAGUACAUGCUUUAAGAGAGUGUUGAAGUGUCCAAACUGCUUCAAAAUAUUGAGCAGUUUGGAAAAAUAAUAGCUAAAUAUUGUUGUUAAAAUUUCCCCCUUGAGAUGAAAAUAAGGCUUGUUUUGGUUAAAAUGUCUUGAAAAGUAUUCAACAGAUAGAUUAACACGCUGCUCUGAUUAUUUCCACAUUUCCAGCUAGCAGCUUCAGAAACAAGGGUCUCAGUGUGUCUGACCUCCAAGCCCUCAUGUGGGUGUGCACACACGUGUGUUAGCAAAGCUUCUCCUCUGGUUGUUGCAGGUACAAUAGCGGGUGCUUCUGUGUGGGCCCUCAUGUCAGCCUGCUCUGGGCACGCAGAAAGCUGGCUGUUGUGUUAGCCAUAGUCUCUACACAGCGGUGGAGGAUGAAGGAAGGGAAGAUGCUGGCAUUUGCCUUGCCAUGCAAAUGGUGGCGAGGUCAUUCUGGACUUGGAAGCAGCUUUUUAGCGCACACUGGAAACUCCUAAAGCCUCCAGUCCCCCACUUAGUUACUAGCAGCGAGCGCAGAAGUUAGGCCACUUGGCAGGGCAAGGGCAGGUGCUUUCCUAUAUUGCUCUGUAGAGACAAUGUGUUGAUUCAUACCUUCCUAGAGCACAUUUACCCUUAUUAUUGAACACGCAGCACUGUAUGAGGGCUUUAUUUAUAUCAUUUACAUAGUUGCCCAUUGACUAAUCGUGGUUCUGCUCUCAGUAUGAAAUCCUUUCACUUGAACAAUUAAUAAAGCUCUAAAUGCUAUCAGAAAUGUAAGAUACCAUAGCUGACCUAAACAGCGAUAAACUGUCCUGUGAUUCCCAUAACUUGUGCAUUCCUUCCCCGUGGUUCAGCGAAGCUGUUUAUACUGCAAAGUCCUACCCACCACGCUUUGACUUUGAAGCUUCCAGAGAAGUAAAGUCAUCAGAGAGGGAUGUUUUGUAUUUUUCACUGACUUCAUGGUUUACAGGCUGUUGGAAAUGUGAGUCUCUGUUUGUAGUAAUGGACUUGCAACUCUCCAUGUGUAUUAAUCAUCAUAUUCACAUACUGCAGGAUUAAUUGACUCUGCUCACUCAGGAGCAUGUAUCAAAAUUUGUUGUUUCCAUCUUUCAUGGCAUUUGAUAUUAAUGUCCCCAGAUGAAAAUCUUCUUUCCAGUACAUUUCUAAAAUUUAUUAUUUAAUCUCAUGCUGGAUGUCAUUUGGGUAGGAAACUGUAUUUCUUCCCUGACCAUUCUUCCCUUGAAGGAAGGAUUUGGUCAGACUCAGAAUUUUUUUUCUAAUGCUUAAUAAACAUCAAUCAAUCAUGCACAUCAAUCUACAUCAUCUAUAUCUGUAUAUAAGUCACACACAUAUUCCAAUAAAAAACAUUAUUCCAGUCUGAAACUGGUGCUGAUUUCAAAGACCUUUCAUUGUGGAUGAAAACCAAUGGAAGCUUAAAUCCAAGCGAUGCUGUAAUGAUAGAUGGAUGAGAGAUAAGCUCUUAGGAGAAACAGAAAUCACUUCUUUCUUCCUUCAGAUUCACUCAUGGGUCAGUUGUCAGGCUGCAGGCCCAAGUUGUUCUGCAUUUUUUCACUAGCAUUGCCCAAAUUCUGAUGCCUCUGCACGGAAGAUUGUGUGCCAGUUAGUCAGUACAUGAUGUUGCGUGUUUGUGAAUUUUGGACCUAGUUGCCGUAUUUCAUAUCUGUAAUCUGAAGGUAAUAAUAAUAGUAAUAAAAUGUUACUGUUAAACUGU